rnacentral:rRNA from 1 species
ACUCCUACGGGAGGCAGCAGUGGGGAAUAUUGCACAAUGGGCGAAAGCCUGAUGCAGCGACGCCGCGUGAGUGAAGAAGUAUUUCGGUAUGUAAAGCUCUAUCAGCAGGGAAGAAAAUGACGGUACCUGACUAAGAAGCCCCGGCUAACUACGUGCCAGCAGCCGCGGUAAUACGUAGGGGGCAAGCGUUAUCCGGAUUUACUGGGUGUAAAGGGAGCGUAGACGGCAUGGCAAGCCAGAUGUGAAAGCCCGGGGCUCAACCCCGGGACUGCAUUUGGAACUGUCAGGCUAGAGUGUCGGAGAGGAAAGCGGAAUUCCUAGUGUAGCGGUGAAAUGCGUAGAUAUUAGGAGGA